rnacentral:rRNA from 1 species
UACGUAGGGCGCAAGCGUUGUCCGGAAUUAUUGGGCGUAAAGAGCUCGUAGGCGGUUUGUCGCGUCUGCUGUGAAAACCUCAGGCUCAACCUGGGGCUUGCAGUGGGUACGGGCAGACUAGAGUGCGGUAGGGGUGACUGGAAUUCCUGGUGUAGCGGUGGAAUGCGCAGAUAUCAGGAGGAACACCGAUGGCGAAGGCAGGUCACUGGGCCGCAACUGACGCUGAGGAGCGAAAGCGUGGGGAGGCGAACAGG